rnacentral:rRNA from 1 species
CCGGAUUUAUUGGGCGUAACGAGCGUGUAGGCGGCCAGGUAGGUCUGCUGUGAAAACUCGAGGCUCAACCUCGAGACGUCGGCGGAAACCAUCUGGCUAGAGUCCGGAAGAGGAGAGUGGAAUUCCUGGUGUAGCGGUGAAAUGCGUAGAGAUCAGGAAGAACACCGGUGGCGAAAGCGCUCUGCUGGACCUUAACUGACACUGAGGGACGAAAGCUAGGGGAGCGAAUGGG